GCCACCACAGCUCUGUUGGAUGAUCGUCUCCGGUGAUUGAAGGGUGCAGAGAGGAUGCGAUGUGCUUAUUUUAGAUACUGGAUUGGGAAGUGCAGAGAAUCAAGCAAGGGUCAAGGAGUUGCUUCAUGUGGA